rnacentral:tRNA from 1 species
GUCUGGCUAGCUCAGUUGGUAGAGCAUGUGACUCUUGAUCUCUGGAUUGUGAGUUCGAGCCCCAUGUGUGGCA